rnacentral:tRNA from 1 species
UGACCUGUAGCUCAACUGGCAGAGCAGCCGACUGUUACUCGGCAAGCUUCAGGUUCGACCCCUGAUAGGUCAG